AUAUUAUUUACUUAUUCUUGUUUCUUCAAAGACUCCAGAGAUGAAAUACAGAAUUGGUAUCAAUUAAACACAAUUGCAGGGUUGGCACUAUUUCAAGAUUUUCAAUGAACCAGACAUCCAAGACACCAAACCCUGCUGAUUCAUUGUCCAUUUGCACCAGUGUAGACCAAAGAGAACAAAGACGGUCAAGAGCUCCUAGUUCCUCUCCUUCAAGCAAUGCUGUGCACAACCAUCGCAUAGCCAAAGAAAGGGUUUUUGAAACCUGACAUUUCCUCAGAGUCCCCUGCUGACUUAAUCAUGGCAAAUAUUGCAUGUCAUUUGUUUGCCACGCAUGGACCUGGCUGAUGGUAGUAGUAGUAAUUCACCACCGCUGUGCGCCGGUUCCUGGAGUGCACUCCAGUGAUGGUGUCGUGCACGUCAGCACAUAGACAUGACAACCAGGAUCAUCACCAAACUGAGGCUAAGCUUGGAAUGGAGUACUGGCUUACUAGCUCGCUGUACACUUGAUGUAUCAAGUAAAAGAAAAAAAAAAAAUUUUGAAUUAGUAUGU